AGUUCUCGCGUAGGUUGGCAGUUUACAAAAAAAAAAACAAAUCUUCAUACAGCUUGCUUCCGUGGCUUCAUCGCCAUCAUCGGCGUAGCAUAGAUGGUCCCUCACCACCGCGACGUGGAGGGUCCCUCACCACUGCGGGCUGCCGAUUCUCCUCUUUCGUGUCAUACCCUCACCUCUCCUCCGGUUCUUCGACUCUGGAUAUGGGAAAAGACGAGUGACGGAUGAUGGUUGAUGCAAUGGUGGAGGAAGCGUACUGAUGUCGGUUUGUAGCAAAUCAGGAGAACACCGCCGUCGGUAGGCUGCCGAUUCAUCAUCUGUCGGUUGUCGCUACUGCACCCACUCUGCCGUAUCCAUGAAUUGUUGGCAUAUUCUCUAGCCCGUUGAAGAAUCCAGGAUUUGGUUGUACUAUUGUGUCCUCCCAUCAAUUCUGUUACUUCCAACAUCAAAUUUGACUUGAUUCUCAUUGGGGCAAACUGAAGAUAUAAUUGACGUUUGACAAUAACAUUGCAUGCAGGUUAUGUUCCUCUUUUGCCAUGCUUUAUGUAGUCAACUAAGAAAUUAUUUUAGAUCCGAGCCACUAGAGAAACUAGAUUCUGAUCCUACAGAUGUUUCAUUAUUCAAAGUCAUUCUGUUUUCUGAUGGUGGGCAUUAGUGAUAUUAUAUGUUGAUGCACGCUGCUGCAAGCUGCCCGGAACUGCGCAAGCUCUAUCCUAAUGGCACGGCAUCACACAUAUUUUUGGCUCCACUUCCUCUCCGCUGCAGAGUCGUUGAACCCCAUGAGAAAAGUGAUAGUUUAGCUGCUCGAUGGUUAUUGGAUGCUGCUAUGCAGGAAUAAAGGAACAUGGUGAUUACAGGAACAUGUUGGAUGGUAGCAGGAAUGAGCUGAUGGAACUAACUAAUGCUAGCUAGCAAGUAAUAUCUUGAUCUGUUUACUCACAUACACAAGUAGUUGUUGAGGUGAAACAAUAUUAUCUUUUCGGCCCAAAUAGCAUUUACAAUAAUAGUGAUCAUCCUCCAAAGAAAAAUAUUAUAGGCCGAUUCCUAUUGUUACUAUACCAACUUAUCUCAGAAAUACAGAAGCGCCGAGAUGGACUAUUGCCUUGGAGAUGCAUAUGUGGGCAAGGUUCUGUAUUGGUUGAUCCAGAAUAAAUUUCGUCUUCUCUAAGAUCUUUCACUUGCAUUCCAUUGUCUGCAAUUUUAACCUAGCCUAAAAUUAAUUAAUCUUAUGGUGAGUGCUUUAGUAUGUUAGACACACAGUGGUUCAUCGGUUACAGGAAUACAUGCCUUCUAUUUCUAUGUCUUCAUCUUCUUAUAAAAACUAAUUAAUUGGAGGCAGCAAAGAAGCCUCCACAUUAAUUCUAGAAACACAUAAAAUUAACCUCCAGAUCUUAAAUCUAUGGUGCAGAUGAAAUAAGUGAUGUUUAGAGUCCUAGAGUUAUAAGUCUCCAACGUGAGGAAAAUGUGGACGUGUAACUUUUGGCAAAAUAAGCGAUGUUUAGAGUCCUAUAAUUAUACGAGUCUUCAAAGUGAGGAAAUUGUAGGCGUAACAAUUAGGAGGCCGCAGCGAUUGUCCUCUCUUGGAUACCCACCAAAAAAGCAUCCCCACGUUGAAAAAAGAGCAUCUCCAAUCUUGACCUUUUCAACGAUCACGUGGCGGGGAGUUCGGUCUGGUGGCACCUCCGCCUGGAUCCUCCUCUGAUUGAUUCAUGCUACACAUAUGCAAGGUGCAGAAUCCUCCUCGACAGCUCUACGUCACAUCACCAUUGGCCUGUCCCGUGGGUUACGAAGACAAUCAAUUUGACGAUUUCAUUGGCUUCCUCCACCCGUUCUGCAAUACCUUGAUGCCUCCAUUAAUUGAAGCUAGACGACGACUGGAAUGCGAGAGACCAUGAAGUCCAAGUGGUUGAUAUAUUGUGCACCCCUCUGUCCAGCUUUUGAUGAGAUUGUUGGUAAAAGCAAUGCAUGUUCUCUCUAUGCGUUGCCUCUGAUUCUCGCGUUGUUUAAUCUAUCCGACCAAGGCGCAGGCAAAAGUUUUCUCUACUUGCAUGCUGGAUGUUUACACAUAGCAUAGCCUGAGGCAUUGAUUGAUAGAUGCGAUUAUUGUUGUUAAGUUACUUUUUUUGCAACUAAUUCAGUUCUUCAGAGUUAGAUUUUCAGCACACAAGUGAUCAGGCGUAGCUUAUCUCCUCGGGGUCGUAAUACUAUGAUUCCUUGCUGCUGUUGAAUCCAAACUGACGAGUAAGUUGAGCUAUAUGUUUAGAUUUGGCAUUCUGGCAAGCAAGAGGAGCAAUUCAACAUCAAUUACAGUAGGUAAUGCAUCUGUUUCAGCUCGAUCAUUUAUUUUACUUGACGUACUAGCAUAUUCAGCAGAAGAGAGGCUCUCCGUGGGAAAUUCACCGGCGACUGGCCGCUACCGCUAUGACGGGGCCUUCUGUACUUCUUAUUGUGUUGCUCGCUGGAGGUUUGAUGGACAUAUCGUUUUUUGAAGUAAAUUAUGUGGCGGCCAAGGCUCCGGCGGCACAGCAUUUUGCCAUCCCCGGCACCAUUCAAGGUCGUCAUCCACCUCUCCUGUCCCAACUCAGCACGGCAGUAGUAACCCUAAAUCCCAUCUUCCCUGGUCUGUUCUUCUCCUUUUGAAUUCAUAAUCAAACCUCCGACUGCCACCUCAUAUGGGAACUACAGAGAUUUCAACAGUGAGAAGAAAGUAAAAUUCAAAGAAACGAAACCAAUCUGUUGAGUUCUCGCCACCGGGAAACAAAUCACUGGACGUGGCAAGGUUUGAUCGGUAUGAUGAUAAGUAUUGUUUCUUAAGUGUUAUUGCAUAAUAAAGAUUGAUCUCAUUGUGGUGAAUUUUGUACCACAUGUGGAAGUUACUGUGGACGAAGAGAUCAAGGAAACAUCUCCAAGCGCUGCAUUUGAAAUCAUCGAUCAGGUUCCGGCGUGUCCAAUUGUGCAGUGAUCAAGUUUAACACUGGUGCAAACUGGAGAAGCCUCCUCUGCAUCUUGCUGUUGUUGCGCUCUACUGUGUGUUCUUUGACUAGGGAAAUACUUGAUUGACAAGUACAUGGUGACCACCUACUGAUCGAUGCCUCACCGGCUGCUCACAUCUGUUCUAUGAGAUUUGAUGGCAAAAUUACAAUCUGUGACACGCUACCAUGCAACAUUAAUGAUUUUUACCUCGCAAAAAAGCAUUAAUGAUUUUUUUUACUGGA